CCUACGGGAGACAGCAGUGGGGGAUAUUGCACAAUGGGGGAAACCCUGAUGCAGCGACGCCGCGUGUGGGAAGACGGUCUUCUGGAUUGUAAACUUCUAUCAAUAGGGAAGAAAGAAAUGACGGUACCUAAAUAAGAAGCCCCGGCUAACUACGUGCCAGCAGCCGCGGUAAUACGUAGGGGGCAAGCGUUAUCCGGAAUUACUGGGUGUAAAGGGAGAGUAGGCGGCAAGGUAAGCGAUAUGUGAAAGCCUUAAGCUUAACUAAAGGAUUGCAUAACGAACUAUCUAGCUAGAGUACAGGAGAGGAAAGCGGAAUUCCUAGUGUAGCGGUGAAAUGCGUAGAUAUUAGGAAGAACACCAGUGGCGAAGGCGGCUUUCUGGACUGAAACUGACGCUGAGGCUCGAAAGCGUGGGGAGCGAACAGGAUUAGAUACCCUUGUAGUC
rnacentral:rRNA from 1 species